rnacentral:lncRNA from 1 species
UUCUCCUUCAAUUUCAUAUAAGCGGCAAAAGAUUGAUAACCAGAUUCUUCACAUGGCUUCUUAAAACCAUUAUUUUGAUUCCACGCCGCUGUGUUCUCCAACAAUCCCUUCAAUAGCGGCUACACGAGAGGAUCCCUGAUUCCAGUCAAAUCAAGCAAUGACGUUCAACGAGCCGUGAAUGGAGCCGAGUAUCAGCUUCGUUAAAGCUCUCAGGCAAAUGCUGGAUUGGUGGUUGGAUAGCAUAAGAGGAAUGAGUUGAUCUACGGAAUGAUUCCGAUGUAGCGGUAUGUGU